GGCAGGGGAUCAGCUAGAGGUAGGUACAUACGAUAUACAUAUACAUGUACAUAUAUAAUGAAAUAGUCAAGGAAAGCUACAGUCAUUGAUGCAUGCCAUGGUGGCCCAAGUUACGUUGCAUAUGUUGGCUGAUUUAAUCGGGUCUUUUAUUUAUUUUUAUUUUAUUAUUUUCGUGGGUUAUAUUAGGGUGGUUGAAAUUAGGCCUUAGUUUAGUCAAUUUUGAGUUUUAUACCUUGUUUUGACUAAGAAUUUAUUUUCUUAUUAGAUUAGUAGUCUUUUUCCAUGUUUAUUCUCCUAGUUUGGUAAGGUUUUCGCAUACCCUAUAUAUAGGGCUUCUUAUGGACGAAAAUUAAAAAACAUAUUUUUAUCAAAACUGUGAGUUUUAUUCUCUCUUAAGAGUUCUUGUUGGGAAAUCAGUUCCCCAUCCAAACUUGGUAGAAGCAAGAAAUAAGAAUAAAAACUAGACACAAUUUAACAAUACAAGAAUUUAACGUGGAAACUCCAAAUCCGGAGAAAAAAACCACGACCCACUGAAAAAUUACUAUAUGAUAAAUUUCUACAAUCACACAGUAUUUCUCACCCUCUCGACUCACAACCACUACACUCUUACAAGCCUUUGA
rnacentral:lncRNA from 1 species